GCUGGCCUAGUGGUUAGAGUGUCCGCCACGGAAGCAAGAGGUCGCGGGUUCAAACCCCGGCCGAAUCA